rnacentral:rRNA from 1 species
CAAUAGCGUAUAUUAAAGUUGUUGCAGUUAAAAAGCUCGUAGUUGGAUUUCUGGUGGGAGCGAUCGGUCUGGCGCUUAGCGCGAGUACUUGCAUCGUCUCCGGCCAUCCUUGGGGAGAGUCUGUCUGGCAUUAAGUUGUCGGGCAGAGGAUCCUCAUCGUUUACUGUGAAAAAAUUAGAGUGUUCAAAGCAGGCUUAUGCCGUUGAAUAUAUUAGCAUGGAAUAAUAAGAUAGGACUUUGGUACUAUUUUGUUGGUUUGCGCACCAAAGUAAUGAUUAAUAGGGACAGUUGGGGGUAUUCGUAUUCCGUUGUCAGAGGUGAAAUUCUUGGAUUUACGGAUGACGAACUACUGCGAAAGCAUUUACCAAGGAUGUUUUCAUUAA